UUAUUUAUUAAUUGCAUCAAGGUUUCUUUCGUUAAUUGAUGUGUUUCUACCAAAUUCAAAUUCAUAUGCCACCAAAUGUCAUUGUAAAGUUCAUUGUUACAGAAUAUUGUUCCAGGAUGGUUUUUCACUCCAGUAGGAAAUCUAUUUUCCUCUUCUUCUGCUCCUUCCUAUUAACCACUUUUCGGAGUUGUAGGCAACAAUCUGU
rnacentral:lncRNA from 1 species